rnacentral:misc_RNA from 1 species
AACGCACAUUGCGCCCCCUGGUAUUCCGGGGGGCACACCUGUUCGAGCGCCAUUACAAACCUCAAGCCUUGCUUGGUGAUGGGCCCCGCCCGCGCGGCGGGCCCGAAACUCGUGGGCGCCCCCUGCCGGACUCCAAGCGUAGCAAAACCCUCGCUUGCGGACGACCGGUCGGAGGCCGCCCCGGACCCCAAUUUUAUCAAUGGUUGGCCUCGGAUCAGGUGGGGAUACCCGCUGAACUUAA